rnacentral:rRNA from 1 species
GACUACAGGGGUAUCUAAUCCUGUUUGCUCCCCACGCUUUCGUGCCUCAGCGUCAAUCAAGGUCCAGCAAGCUGCCUUCGCAAUCGGUGUUCUAUGGCAUAUCUAAGCAUUUCACCGCUACAUGCCACAUUCCGCCUACCUCAACCUGAUUCAAGCACGACAGUAUCAAUCGCAGUUCCGCCGGUUAAGCCGGGGAAUUUCACAACUGACUUAUCGCGCCGCCUACGCACCCUUUAAACCCAGUGAUUCCGGAUAACGCUUGCACCCUCCGUAUUACCGCGGCUGCUGGCACGGAGUUAGCCGGUGCUUAUUCUGAUGGUACCUUCAAGCCCCGAACACGUCGAGGUUAUUAUUCCCAUCCAAAAGCAGUUUACAACGCUGAGCGCCUUCAUCCUGCACGCGGCAUGGCUGGAUCAGACUUCCGUCCAUUGUCCAAUAUUCCUCACUGCAGCCUCCCGUAGG